UGGGGCCUCGAGUGCAACUCCCUAACCAUUGUGACGUUACCUAUACCGUUGCUUCGGCGGGCGGCCCCGGGGUUUACCCCCCGGGCGCCCCUGGGCCCCACCGCGGGCGCCCGCCGGAGGUCACCAAACUCUUGAUAAUUUAUGGCCUCUCUGAGUCUUCUGUACUGAAUAAGUCAAAACUUUCAACAACGGAUCUCUUGGUUCUGGCAUCGAUGAAGAACGCAGCGAAAUGCGAUAAGUAAUGUGAAUUGCAGAAUUCAGUGAAUCAUCGAAUCUUUGAACGCACAUUGCGCCCGCCAGCAUUCUGGCGGGCAUGCCUGUUCGAGCGUCAUUUCAACCAUCAAGCCCCCGGGCUUGUGUUGGGGACCUGCGGCUGCCGCAGGCCCUGAAAAGCAGUGGCGGGCUCGCUGUCGCACCGAGCGUAGUAGCAUACAUCUCGCUCUGGUCGCGCCGCGGGUUCCGGCCGUUAAACCACCUUUUUAACCCAAGGUUGACCUCGGAUCAGGUAGGAAGACCCGCUGAACUUAAGCAUAUCAUAAAGCGGGAAGAAAACGGAGUUGCAAAACUCCUAAACAUUGUGAACGUUACUAUACGUUGCUACGCGGGCGGCCCGGGUUUACCCCGGGCGCCCUGGGCCCACGCGGCGCCGCCAGAGUCACAAACUCUAGAUAAUUUAUGGCUCUCUAAGUCUUCGUCGAAAUAAUCAAACUUUACACGGACUUGGUUCUGGCAUCAUAAAAAGCACAAUGCAUAGUAAUGUGAAUUGCAGAAUCAUGAAUCAGCAACUUGAGCAUGGGCAGUCGUGGCGGCGUCGUUUAGAAUAUUUCAUCAAGCCCCGGUUGUUUGGGACUGCCCGGCAGGCUGAAAAAAUGACGGGCGCUUUCACGCAGGUAUACAAAUCUGCUUGGUGGCCGGGGUCGCUAACCCUUAACAGGUGAUCGGAACGUGGAACCCUACUACAUUAUAGCGAGGAA
rnacentral:rRNA from 1 species